rnacentral:rRNA from 1 species
UACGUAGGUGGCGAGCGUUAUCCGGAAUUAUUGGGCGUAAAGAGCGCGCAGGUGGUUGAUUAAGUCUGAUGUGAAAGCCCACGGCUUAACCGUGGAGGGUCAUUGGAAACUGGUCGACUUGAGUGCAGAAGAGGGAAGUGGAAUUCCAUGUGUAGCGGUGAAAUGCGUAGAGAUAUGGAGGAACACCAGUGGCGAAGGCGGCUUCCUGGUCUGUAACUGACACUGAGGCGCGAAAGCGUGGGGAGCAAACAGGAUUAGAUACCCCUA